rnacentral:lncRNA from 12 species
AUUUACGAGGCCAGCACAAAACCCCAGCUUUCUCCUCCCUCCAAGCCUGGGCAGGAGGCUGACAGGGAAGCCCCUACUUCAUCUUGACUAUGGACCCAGCCCCCCAGCCCCUCAGCCCCCGCAGCUCCCUCCAGCCACUGUGUGAGCCCCCAGCCCCUGCACAGAUACCUACUGGCACCCUGGCGGGUCGCUGCUCCAUGCAGCCCCUCCCAGUCCGUCCACGCUGCGGCGUCCCCGGUCCCCUCUGGCCUCAAGGCCUCAGGCAGGUGGAAUGAAAGGACUAUGUGACCUGUGUCCAUCUGUUUCCUGCCGCCUGCCCGUGUCUGUACCCAGCAGGUCCCGCUCUCGCCCAGCUCCAUGUUCCUCUUCCAGUCCAGUCCUCUGCUCCACCUCCCACCAUGGCUUCUGUUCCAGUGCUGACCACGCCUCCCCCUGCCCUCCCUGCGGGGCCCUGGGCUGCGGCGCACAGAGGGGAUACCUAGGGCCGACCCAACCCUGCUCGGGCAGAGGUUUCCGUGCCAAGCCAUCCUAGACUGCAUUUGGUGACCAUUUCGUGGUGCUGGAGUUGGGGAGGGUGUCAGCGGGCACAAGCCCGCCCCAGCGGGGUCAGUGGAUGUGGUGGCCUCUGCCCCCCAGGUGCAGGACCAGCCUGCAGCCUGGGCCUCCCUGGAGAAGCGCCCUCAGCCCCGUGCUGCUCCCAUGAAAUGCUCUAGGGAGGAACGCAGCCCAGGAAUGACUGAACGAUGGCCCAGGGCAGGACAGCAGACACACCUGGCAGCAGGUGCCGAUGCCUCGGGGGUCUGUGCUGACCCACCGCCCACCGCCUGGGCUGUGUCUGCACAGGAGCAAGUCCUGCAGCAGAGCCUGAGAAAUAGAGGUCGGGGCGUGGGGCAGGGCCUCUGGGGGACGGGGUCUGGGGUGGGGCAGGGCCGAGGCCGAGGUGGCCUGUGUUCCUGGGCUCAGCAUCCACCCCAUGCCCGUGGACUCCGCCCCACAGUGGGGCGAGCACUUUCUCGGGAUCUUUCCACAGGGGACACUUAGGCACGAAUUGCUGUUUCCGCGGGCUCUGCUCUCUCCUGGUGGUGGCCUCCGAGCCCAGACGGUUGUCCAGUCGGUUGCGGCCAUGAAGGGCCCAGCAGGACUGAAGCAGCAUGUGAGGAGGGGCUGUGGGCGUCAUUUCCAGAUUCCAGAACCCCAGAAUCUGCCCUGCUUACACUCCGACUCCGACCCUGGGCCCGGUCCUCCAGGACGUGGAGCUGGCACUCCCGUGGAGGGAACACGUUGCUUGUCUUAUCUUUUCUCAUUGUUGUUAUCACGGAUCUAAUUCGGGGGGCUCGUUUGUGGCAUUCUGGCCCAGGGACAAGCCAAAGGCUCCCAGAGGCCGCGUUCCCCUUGGGAAGUACCACCCGGGCCUCUUCAUCCCCAUGCCUCUUCCUCAGCCACUAGCUUCCCCCUCAUCCCUGAAAAGAUGAUAGAGAAGUGGCCCCCGUUUCCGGAUGGAAUGUUGACCCCGCCCCCAAGAAGGACUCUGUGGCUACCCCCCCAGUAGAGCCAAGGGGAGGGGCCGAGGGGGGACCUUCCGGAGAUGUUGGCUAAGGGUUCCUGGUGGGAAUUCACGGACUGAGCUGCAGAGAAGGAAGCACGGUACCGGGCCGCUGCCCUGGAGGACCAGGUACGCCAGGCUCCGUGACUCACACCGGCCCCCAGCACAGCCUGACACACUGCCGCUGAGGCGGGUGUGAGCUCUGGCCCAGGGUCCAGAAUUUACAGCAAUGCGUCCCCAGUAUGGAGCCAUUUGGCAGAUGGGGAAACAGAAAUGAAUAAUUGUUCAAAAACAAGCUGUGUGUCUCCUCAGUUCUCCGAGGUCACGCUGUCAGCGGUGGGGCCAGCAUCCACCGCAGACAAGAGGGGUCCAGGGCCCCCCUUGUGGGCCGUGCCAGGCGCUUUCCCCUUCACCGGCCUCCCCACCUG